UGAGAUACAUUGUACACGUAGAGAGCCACGCAGGUGGCACUUUUGUCAUGGCAGGCAUUGCUGAAUGACAACCCACAGAGAGCAAGGUGGCCCUGGAAGUACAGGUAUGGGCCAAGGCUGAGGUUUCCCUGAAAUCAGUGGCUUUGAUUCCAUGUCUCCGGUUCCCUCAGCCCUGCCCUCUGCAUGUGUUGACUUCGUAUCCCAGUUUGUAGAGGAAGAGGAGGCCCUGAACCCACAGUACCCUGCAACAAACUCUUCAUUGCUGGUUCCUGGCCAGUGGACUCAAGUGUCCAUUUCCUUGGGUCUUCUAGUGAUACCAUGUGCAACUCAAGGACCAGUGACUAUAAACCUCCAAAGUGAUAUUGGGUGUAAAAGUCACUCUUUCCUGUAAUAAUCCUACUGGGUUGGACCCUGCCUCCCUUUCACCCGUACUCAAGGCCCGGAAGUACAGGUGCAAAGAAAAAUUAUACUUGAAAGUCAUUUGCAGAGUUCGCAUCAACAUUACACGGAUUUUUAUUAGGAGUCGACAGCCCAUACAGCUCUCAUAAACUUGUAAUUCAGAUUUGUAUGUCAGCACACUGACCAGUUGGGCCAGAAGCACAGUCAAGAUGUGACAGGGCCAUGAUCCUUCUGGAGAUUCUGAGAAGAAACCCUUCCGUGUGUGAAAAUUCUCUGGCACCAUCCUCAUAUGCAGAAUUUUCCAAAGAAAUCAAGAUGCACCCCAGUUUAUCCAGUCUCCCACAAAGGGACCUUGGCUGCUUCCAACUUUGGACAGUUACGAAUGAAGCUUCUGGAAAUAUCUGUGAGCAAAUUUUUGAGUGACUGUGUUUUAGAUUCAUUUGGCUAAAUCCUGAGGAAUACAAUUGCUGAACCACAAGGGCUGCGCAUGAGAGUUAUGCAAAUAAGAGCAAAGUCAUCAAGUUGGAGUCUCCUUGGACCAUC